GGAGGGGGCAAGCGUUAUUCGGAAUCAUUGGGCGUAAAGGGCGCGUAGGCGGCUUGGCAAGUCAAAGGUGAAAUCCCUCGGCCUAACCGAGGAACUGCCUUUGAAACUGCUUGGCUUGAGGCCGGGAGAGGGUAGCGGAAUUCCCAGUGUAGCGGUGAAAUGCGUAGAUAUUGGGAGGAACACCAGUGGCGAAGGCGGCUACCUGGACCGGUUCUGACGCUGAGGCGCGAAAGCGUGGGGAGCAAACAGGAUUAGAUACCCUGGUAGUCCACGCCGUAAACGACGGGUACUCGGUGUCGCGGGUAUCGACCCCUGCGGUGCCUUAGCUAACGCGUUAAGUACCCCGCCUGGGGAGUACGGUCGCAAGGCUG
rnacentral:rRNA from 1 species